AGCGAACGCUGGCGGCAGGCCUAACACAUGCAAGUCGAACGAACUCUUCGGAGUUAGUGGCGGACGGGUGAGUAACACGUGGGAACGUGCCUUUUGGUUCGGAAUAACUCAGGGAAACUUGUGCUAAUACCGAAUGUGCCCUUCGGGGGAAAGAUUUAUCGCCAUUAGAGCGGCCCGCGUCUGAUUAGCUAGUUGGUGAGGUAACGGCUCACCAAGGCGACGAUCAGUAGCUGGUCUGAGAGGAUGACCAGCCACACUGGGACUGCGACACGGCCCAGACUCCUACGGGAGGCAGCAGUGGGGAAUCUUGCGCAAUGGGCGAAAGCCUGACGCAGCCAUGCCGCGUGAAUGAUGAAGGUCUUAGGAUUGUAAAAUUCUUUCACCGGGGACGAUAAUGACGGUACCCGGAGAAGAAGCCCCGGCUAACUUCGUG
rnacentral:rRNA from 1 species